GAUGGACGCUGGCGGCGUGCCUAAUACAUGCAAGUCGAGCGAACGGACGAGAAGCUUGCUUCUCUGAUGUUAGCGGCGGACGGGUGAGUAACACGUGGAUAACCUACCUAUAAGACUGGGAUAACUUCGGGAAACCGGAGCUAAUACCGGAUAAUAUUUUGAACCGCAUGGUUCAAAAGUGAAAGACGGUCUUGCUGUCACUUAUAGAUGGAUCCGCGCUGCAUUAGCUAGUUGGUAAGGUAACGGCUUACCAAGGCAACGAUGCAUAGCCGACCUGAGAGGGUGAUCGGCCACACUGGAACUGAGACACGGUCCAGACUCCUACGGGAGGCAGCAGUAAGGAAUCUUCCGCAAGGGGCGAAAGCCUGACGGAGCAACGCCGCGUGAGUGAUGAAGGUCUUCGGAUCGUAAAACUCUGUUAUUAGGGAAGAACAUAUGUGUAAGUAACUGUGCACAUCUUGACGGUACCUAAUCAGAAAGCCACGGCUAACUACGUG
rnacentral:rRNA from 1 species